GGGUUUAAAUGCUGCUGUGCAGUCACUCACUCAACAAAUGAUUGAAAUAUAUAUAACUACAAAGAAAACCAUCACAAGAUGCUUUGAUGGCAGUCAUCAACAGCCAGGCUGAGGCUGCUCUCUUGGAGUGGUGUAGAUCAGGAGUUCUGAAAACAACAAGAACAACAAGAACAACAACAACAACGUAUGGUCAACUGAUGAGAGUCAGAAUCUCUGUGGGCCAAGAAGUGAGACUUGUUUUGUCGCUCACUGUGAGAAGAUUUGAAACGAAGAUUUCAAAGAACUGGUCUCUGAUGAAUGGCAUUGGGAUGUUGAGGUCUGGAAAAAGAUGGGAAAAAGGACUUCAGCUUUCAUCAAGAGCCCUCCUCUAAGAAACACUUGAUGUAUUAUUUCAUGCAUCUCUGUGAGUCUGUGGUUUCAGAAAAGACUUUUUGUAAGAGCUAAGUCUAAAAGACUUAGCUCAGUUUGCUUAGUCAAGAAGGGUACAGCUGGAUAAAAAGAACACGAACAACAACAACAACAACAAAAAGCCCAAAUAAUGGAACAACAAAAAAACUGUGAAGGAUAGUGUCAUUGGGAGUGACAAGAGGACAACUUCUAGAAUUAUUGCUGCAAAGAUCCAGUUAUCCUCACAGGGAGUGAGUGAAAAAAAGUGGGAAGAAACUAACUUAAUUCUAAGAAAUGAGGAGGAUUACAGAUCCCAGAAGAUAAUCAAGUGCUUCAAGACAGUUGAUUAAGCCAAAUUAUAUGUGGUAGAGAAAGAUUUGUGGAGCAGUUUCAGAAUAUAUACACGUCUGUCUGUUGAAUGUAUUCCUUCCUCUUACAUGGAAGCCAGGGUAAUUGUAUGUGAUAAAGAUCACUUGUAAAUGAAAACUUUGGAGGUUACAGAAGAAGUAAAUGUCAGAAAUGAAGGAAAACAAUAGCAGGUAAAGGAAAGAAAGAGAGGAAUCGCAGAAAUGAGAAAAACUGAAAAGGAAAGAAAGCAGAGACCACUAAUUAGAAGUCGAGCAUCUUGGAGGAUGAAAUUAUGCCAUAUUUUUCUUCCCUUGGUCGUUUUUGAUGUCUUGAGGGGAUCCUAUCAGCUGGGGAUACAGAGAGACUCCUACUGACUUCAGCCUUCAUGCACACAUAUGAAAGGAGAAACCAUGUAGCUGAUCCAGCCUGGAGACCAUUGAUGAUAGCCUGGAUGAU